rnacentral:lncRNA from 1 species
GUUCAGUUGACCAUGAAAUUGGGGUCAAAACUAUAAUUUGGCAUCAAAAUUAGAAAGAUCAUAUCAUGGGGAACAUGUGUACUAAGUUUCAAGUGGAUUGGACUUCAACUUCAUCAAAAACUACCUUGACCAAAAACUUUAACCUGAAGUCGGACGAACGAACGAACGAACGGACGAACGAACGAACGGACGAACGAACGGAGGCACAGACCAGAAAACAUAAUGCCCCUCUACUAUCGUAGGUGGGGCAUAAAAAUAUAUAUAUUUUUUUUA